rnacentral:rRNA from 1 species
AACGAACGCUGGCGGCAGGCUUAACACAUGCAAGUUGAACGGGAUUUGAUGGUAGCUUGCUAUCAUUGAUGAGAGUAGCGCACUGGUGAGUAACACGUGGGAACAUACCUUUUGGUGGGGGACAACAGAGGGAAACUUCUGCUAAUACCGCAUAAGCCCUGAGGGGGAAAGAUUUAUUGCCAAAAGAUUGGCCCGCGGAAGAUUAGGUAGUUGGUGGGGUAAAGGCCUACCAAGCCUACGAUCUAUAGCUGGUCUGAGAGGACGAUCAGCCACAUUGGAACUGAGACACGGUCCAGACUCCUACGGGAGGCAGCAGUGAGGAAUAUUGGGCAAUGGGCGCAAGCCUGACCCAGCAAUGCCGCGUGAAGGAAGACGGUUUUUCGGAUUGUAAACUUCUUUUAAGAGGGACGAUAAUGACGGUACCUCUUGAAUGAGCCACGGCUAACUACGUG